rnacentral:lncRNA from 1 species
CGCGGACGCAAACAGAUGCUGAGAUACGGGAUGCUGGGAACUCGGCUGAACAUGUGUACUCGGAAGCUUGGAUGCGGAAGCUGAGAUCCGGGGGGUUGCACGAACGCGGGAUGAUGGGCUGCACGCGGACGCUUGGGAUGAAGUGGGAGAAUCACAAACGGGUGCACAGGCUACUUUGAAUUGGCUGCAGUGAACCUGAAAGGCUGAACUUAACCUCCUUCUAGUAUGCAACUGGGGUUGAUCCAUACGGUUGGCUGGUCACAUAUGGUGAUGCAUCUUUUUGGACCCAAUGCAUAUUUUAACUUUAAUUUACGAUCACCUGCACCCCACAAAAAUAUAAUAUUAAUACAGCACUUCUAUCAUCAUUUGUUAGCAAUAAUACUAAUUUGAGUGAUGUGUAGAUUGCACUUUUGUGCUCUCAUCAAGCACCGUAGGUCAAAAGACCAGUCACACUACUGCAACAUCAAGCAAGUCACUGAUGAGUAGAUAGACAUCCAAGUGACUUCUUGUCUUGGUCACGCUCAGUACCCUUGUUCUUUAACAAGCACCUGUUGGAAACCCGCCCAUGCUGCAGAAAAUUAAAAAAAUUUAGAUGGCAGCGGAAGAGGCAUGCGCGGGAUCACACGUUCAUCCUAUAAACAUUGUUCAAAAACCGUUCAUAGAUAGAUUAGAAUUAAAAACUUUUAACUACGUUAGGAAAAUCAGAUCUUCACCUUGUGCGGGUAGAUGAUCAACGCAAACCG